AGGAGCUGCUCUGCGAGGACGGGCUGGAGUCAGCUUCGCCAGGAGCCCGGCCAAGGCGGGUGGGGGGGAAGGACAGCUUUGUUGGGCGAGCAAACAGACCCCACCCACGAGCGCGACGGUUCGUGAGCCACAUCAACCGCGGCGCAAACGCGGGGACGCGGAUCCCACCGCCCCGCUGCCCGCAGGGGCCAGGGAUUAACGCUGACGGAAGGGGCCAGGGGAGCAAACUUUCUUGCAAGAGCCAGGUUGUGGAGCCCCCACUAAAGCACUGGAAAUGCUGGAGAUGCCUCAUCACAGGUUCUGCACAGACCCAACGCUCCUCUCACAUUGAAUCCCAAGCUGUGCCAUGGAUGAGUUAACUCAUGCGGGGACAGAGGGGCUGGAAGGCUGGAAAAGGCCCUGGGGGUGCUGAGCCAGCGGCUGGACACGAGCCCAGGGGUGCCCAGCAAACAGAACCUUUGGGAGCAGAACAGAACCUGUGGGAGGAGAACAGAACCUUUGGAAGGAGAACAGAACCUUUGGGAAGAGAACAGAACCUUUGGGAGGAGAACAGAACCUGUGGGAAGAGAACAGAACCUUUGGGAAGAGAACAGAGCCUUUGGGAA